CACGCCGUAAACGAUGAGUGCUAGGUGUCGGGUGUCAAAGCUCGGUGCCGCAGCUAACGCAUUAAGCACUCCGCCUGGGGAGUACGUACGCAAGUAUGAAACUCAAAGGAAUUGACGGGGACCCGCACAAGCAGCGGAGCAUGUGGUUUAAUUCGAAGCAACGCGAAGAACCUUACCAGGGCUUGACAUGCCCUUGACCGUCCUAGAGAUAGGAUUUUCCCUUCGGGGACAAGGGACACAGGUGG
rnacentral:rRNA from 1 species